UACGUAGGGGGCUAGCGUUGUCCGGAAUCAUUGGGCGUAAAGCGCGUGUAGGCGGUCCGGUAAGUCCGCUGUGAAAGUCGGGGGCUCAACCCUCGGAUGCCGGUGGAUACUGUCGGGCUUGAGUACGGAAGAGGCGAGUGGAAUUCCUAGUGUAGCGGUGAAAUGCGUAGAUAUCAGGAAGAACACCCGUGGCGAAGGCGGCUCUCUGGGACGGUACUGACGCUGAGGUGCGAAAGCAUGGGGAGCAAACAGG
rnacentral:rRNA from 1 species